rnacentral:rRNA from 1 species
UACGAAGGCGGCUAGCGUUUUUCGGAAUUACUGGGCGUAAAGCGCACGUAGGCGGAUAUUUAAGUCAGGGGUGAAAUCCCAGAGCUCAACUCUGGAACUGCCUUUGAUACUGGGUAUCUUGAGUAUGGAAGAGGUGAGUGGAAUUCCGAGUGUAGAGGUGAAAUUCGUAGAUAUUCGGAGGAACACCAGUGGCGAAGGCGGCUCACUGGUCCAUUACUGACGCUGAGGUGCGAAAGCGUGGGGAGCAAACAGG